AGUGGAAUUGCUGGGUCAUAUGGUAACUCUAUUCAGCUUUUGGGGGAAUUGCCAAACUUUUCCACAGCAGCUGCACCAUUUUGCACUCCCACCAGCAAU
rnacentral:pre_miRNA from 1 species